CCCCCUACACGGGAGGACACGCCCCCUUCCGAUACAGACCACGCCCCCUUCUGAGGGGGGACACGCCCCCUAAGCCACAGGCCACGCCCCCUUCUUUGCCUUCUCCAGGACCUCUAUGAUAGAACAGACUGGAGCUGGGUCAGUGCUGGAUCAAUGUCUUAUUAAUGCCCCAUCAAUGCUAGAUCAAUACAGGAUCAAUACCGGAUCUGUCCCAUACUGGUACUGGAUCAAUGCUGGAUCUGUGCCAUACUGGUGCUGGGUCAAUGCUGGAUCCAUCCCAUACUGGUGCUGGGUCAAUGCUGGAUCCAUCCCAUACUGGUGCUGGAUCAAUGCAGGAUCCAUCCCAUACUGGUGCUGGGUCAAUGCUGGAUCCAUCCCAUACUGGUGCUGGGUCAGUGCUGAGUCGAUACCAGAUCAAUGCCCCAUCAAUGUGGGGUCAGUGCUGGAUUGGUCCCAGUUCAACACUGGAUCAAUACUGAACCAGUGCAGGAUCAAUGUCAGACUGGUCCCAGAUCAAUGUCAGAUCAAUGCCCCAUCAAUACCGGAUCAGUGCCGGAUCAAUGCCGGGUCGGUGGCACAUGGGCACCAGUUCCAUGUCCCCAUCACCCCCUGUCCCAGUGUCUGUCCCAGUGUCCUGGUGUCGGUCCCGGUGCUGGUGCUGGUGUCAGUCCUGGUGUCCUGGUGUCUGUGCCUGUCCCAGUGUCCCAGUGUCAGUUCCGGUGCCAUUCCCAGUGUUCUGGUGUCAGUCCCGGUGUCUGUCCUAGUGUUUGUCCUGGUGUCCUGGUGUUGAUCCCAGUGAUGGUCCCUGUGCCCCAGUGUCUGUACCAGUGCCAGUCCCAGUGUCCCGGUGCCUGUCCUGGUGUCUGUGUCAGUCCUGGUGUACUGGUGUUGAUCCCGGUGUCAGUCCCUGUGUCCCAGUGCCAUUCCCAGUGUCAGUCCCAGUGUCAGUCCUAGUGCCAUUCCUGGUGUUCUGGUGUCUGUCCCAGUGUCAGUCCCAGUGUCUGUGUCUGUCCCGGUGUCAGUCCUGGUGUCCUGGUGUUGAUCCUGGUGCCUGUCCCGGUGUCCCAGUGCCAUUCCCAGUGUUUGUCCUGGUGUUGAUCCCAGUGUCAGUUCUGGUGUCCCAGUGUCUGUCCCUGUGCCAUUCCCGCUGUUGAUCCUGGUGUCAGUCCCAGUGUCAGUCUCAGUGUCCCAUUGCCAUUCCCAGUGUUGAUCCCGGUGCCAUUCCCAGUGUCAGUCCUGGUGUCCCAGUGUUCUGGUGUCAGUCCCGUUGUCAAUCCCAUUGUCAUUCCCGGUGUCCUGGUGCCAUUCCCAGUGUCAGUCCUGGUGUCCGGGUGUUCUGGUGUCAGUCCUGUUGUCAAUCCCAUUGUCAUUCCCGGUGGUGCCAUUCCCAGUGUCUGUUCCAGUGUCAGUCCUGGUGUUGGUCCCAGUGUCCCAGUGCCAUUCCCAGUGUCUAUCCCAGUGUCAGUCCUGGUGUUCUGGUGUCUGUCCCAGUGUCCCGUUGCCUGUCCCAGUAUCAAUACCACUGUUCUGGUGUUGCUCCCAGUUCCAUUCCCGUUGUUCCGGAGCCGGUUCCGGUGUCAGUCCUGGUGUCUGUUCCAGUGUUCUGGUGUCAGUCCCAUUGUCGAUCCCAUUGUCAUUCCCAGUGUCCCGUUGCCAUUCCCGGUGUUCUGGUUCCAUUCCCGUUGUUCCGGUGCCGGUUCCGGUGUCAUUCCUGGUGUUCUGGUGUCAGUCCCAGUGUUGAUCCCAGUAUCAGUCCCAGUGUGCCAGUGUUGCUCCCGGUGUUGCUCCCA
rnacentral:lncRNA from 14 species